UACGUAGGGUGCGAGCGUUGUCCGGAAUUAUUGGGCGUAAAGGGCUCGUAGGCGGUUUGUCGCGUCGGGGAGUGAAAACCCAGGGCUUAACCCUGGGCUGGCUUCCGAUACGGGCAGACUAGAGGUAUGCAGGGGAGAACGGAAUUCCUGGUGUAGCGGUGGAAUGCGCAGAUAUCAGGAGGAACACCGAUGGCGAAGGCAGAUCUCUGGGCCGUAACUGACGCUGAGGAGCGAAAGCGUGGGGAGCGAACAGG
rnacentral:rRNA from 1 species